rnacentral:rRNA from 1 species
UUGAACGCUGGCGGCAUGCCUUACACAUGCAAGUCGAACGGUAGAGGGGCAACCCUUGAGAGUGGCGAACGGGUGAGUAAUGCAUCGGAACGUGCCCAGUCGUGGGGGAUAACGCAGCGAGAGCUGUGCUAAUACCGCAUGUGAUCUGUGGAUGAAAGCAGGGGACCGCAAGGCCUUGUGCGAUUGGAGCGGCCGAUGUCAGAUUAGCUAGUUGGUAGGGUAAAAGCCUACCAAGGCGACGAUCUGUAGCUG